UUGCGGACCGCAUAGCGAGUCGGUGGGUUCAAAAUGAAUGAAAUUAAUACGUUUUUUGCAUUUGAUACAAGUUGCAAAAUAGAAACAAAGGAUUUUAAAUCCAGUGAAUGUUUUACAGUCGAUAUCCACACAAAAUUCGAUUCAGAAGACUACUCAAAUCAAGUCAAGAAAUGGAUAUCAAACUUUUCUAUGGUCACCAAGACAAACUGGAUUGUAUUUAGAUCAUUUCCCGAUAAUAAAAGGCACCUCUUUAGAAAAACAUAUAAGUGCCAACAAAACUGCAAAAAUAAAGGUGAUAAAGUGUAAAAAACCGACAAAGGAAUCUAAACUGUAAGGCAUUUGUUAAGGUGCUAAUAAAGAAAGUCAACAAGAAAAUAAUAAAAAAUUACCCUUUUCUGAAAGAAAAUCUUAAUGUUCUCAUAAAGAUACAUUUUAAACAUAGCCACGUGAUUGAUGUUGCCGAAGCAUUAAAAUUUUGACAAAUGCUCAAGUCAAUCCAAGAAAAAGACAGAUAUAUACAUUAUUCAAUAAUUGGAGGUAAGUAACAUUCAGAAAAUGGUCUAAGGACUGUCGUAUAUUUAAUAGGUAUGAAGAAAUCAAUAAAACUUUGGUCGCACGUCAUCAAUGACACCACGCGCUUUCUUAUGGCAUUUGCUGGUUUAGUUGGCAGAAUUGAGGCCUAUGAAUUUAUGGCAGUCACAACUAUGGCAGGCAUGUGGAACUAAUAGUUCGGCAGUCGAGAUCCAGUCAAUGCACCUAAAAUUUUGAAAGAAAAAAAAGGAUCAUUUUUGAAAAUAGGAGUUGAGUUAUUAGUAUAUGAAGAAAAUUUAAAUAUUGCUAUUAUCACACCCAUCAUGAGGAGGGCCCAUUCCAUGGCGUUCUCAGAGGAGUUAGUAUUUGUCGAUUCGAGCGGGUCAUGUGAUCAAGCCAACAUUGUUGUAACAUUUCUGUUUGGCUCUUCAAAAAUUGGAGGGAUUCCACUAGGUUGUGUAAUGCAUAGAAAGCAAACAGAAGAAGAUUUUACUAAAGCUCUGGGAAAUUUAAAAACGCUUCUUGGUUCUGCAGGAUUCAACGGAAAAAAUUAUCCCCAAAUAUUUAUGACCGAUGACAGCGCAGCAGAAAGAAAUGCAUUACGAAAAAUAUUUCCGGAAAGUAAAUAACUUCUAUGCAUAUUUCAUAUUACCCAAGCAGUAUAGAGAUAGCUAUGGACCAGCUAUCAUAAAAUAGAAAAAAAUGAUCGGCAACACCUCAUGAAACUAUUUUAAAAAGUUCUGUAUUCUUCCACAGCACUAAAUGUGAUUUAGCCAUAAAUGCUCUUCUAAAUGACGCUGUUACAAAAAAAUAUAAUAAUUUCAUGACCUACGUAGAGCAGCUAUGGAAAAGAAAAAAAGAAUGGUGUUUAUGUAGUAGGGCUACUUUAACUACGAGGGGGCAUAAUACUAAUAAUACUGUUGAAGCAUCGAUAAGAAUAUUAAGAUAUAGUGUUAGAGAGAUGUAAAGCUUUUAACAUAUAUGCUUUAGUGGAUUUUGUUUCUACUAUAUUGGAGAACUAUCACAUGAGAAGAUAACUUAAUUUUGCUAAUGGAAGAGAAACCAAAAAUAAUAUUGCAUAUGGAAAAUUUGUUAAAAAAGCUAGUACCUUGAAAGUAGUUCAAACUGGAGAGAAUAAUUUUAAAGUAUGUUCUUCUCAAGAUGAACAAAAGGCGACGUAUAAAGUGAUGUCAGAUUUACAAAUGUGCGAAUGUUUUGCAGGUCAAGGGGGAAAAUUCAUUCAAGCACUUAUGUGCCGUCCAAGAGAUUUAUAAAAAUAUUUCUAUCUGUCCUCAACUAAAUACCAGUGAUAAAAUUUUGUUGGCAUUGGGCGACUCCGCUGAAAAUAAUGCUAAUUUUUUCUUUCCUAUGCAACAGUCAGUGGAUGCAUACGAUAUUAAUGCAUCUUUCUCUGGUAAUAAAAAUACUUCGAAUAAUGAAUAUGUACACCAUGAUCUAUCAGACCUACAUGAAGAAAGUUUUAAUCAAGAAACAGCAUACGAAGAGGAAGUAAGUCGCUUUGCAACAAACUUAACUUUUUUAAUUCACUUAACAAAACAAAACGAUUAUUCCUUGCUGUCCCUUUUGAAGAAAGUCAACAGAAAACUGGAAGGUGUAAAGUCCACUAUACAAUUGGGGUCCUUUUUGUCAAAUAUUGUGUCAAAAGUGGGAUCAAGGAAAACAAUUCCAGUUCAGCCAACGUCCAUUUCCCGAAGAAAGCGAUCAUUACUUUCAAAAGGUGCUCGAAGUAUUCAAGCCGGUCGCCCUUCAAAUUUGAAAUUAAAUCGCAAUGGAAGAAUUGCAAAAAAAUCAAAAAGAAAACAGUGCUAACGUAUCCAAUGCAAAGGGUCAUUAAUAUUAUAUUCUUUGUUAGUUAUGUAUCCUAAUAAUAUGUUUUUAUUGUAUAUUUUGUGUUACAAGAAUGUUUAGAGUUUGCUAAUAAAUCAUUGUGUUGUGUAGCAACCCU
rnacentral:lncRNA from 1 species